GUAAUUUAGGCCUAUUUUAUUCCAUUUUUUAAGCACCUAUUGUUUAUUGUUGUUACUGUUGUAAAUAACUAUUUUAAUACAUAGCUAGGAUAUUGUGUAACAAUAAUAGGUCUGUAAUAAAGCAUUGCGUGUUUUAUGUGCUGCUAAUGCACAGCUAGACCUUUUCAAAUCAAUGCAUUUUUAAUAGGCUACAUAGGCUAUCAGGUAUAAUAUCUACAUACAGAACAUUAGUUUAAAAACAUGUUAGUUCUGUUCUGUUCCCACUGGGUAGGCAAGUUUCCUAAUGAGCGUUUCGUGACCUUUGUAAAUGAGCAUGAUUAUUGAUUUUCUUCAUUUAUCUGCAGAAAAAAGGCAUAAGGACGACGCCUUUUCCAUCUGUUGUUUAAGAAGAAAGAAGAAAGCUUUUAUCUGGCUUUGGCCACAUACUGAACUCUGCCUGACAGCUCCCCACGUUCUCAGACCCUUUUGGACAAUUUCGACACCGUGUCCAUCUGGUUCUGAUUAAGUCCCAACCGGCCUGCUUCGCAUCCAGAGUGAAGAGGCGAGACGGGCGAGAGAGAAGAAAGAGAGAAAGACGGCAAGAUGGGAACGAGGAAGAAACGGCAAGAGCCAAAACGACAACAAAGUGGGAUCGAAGAGAGAUCCGUAACUGAUGCCCGACCUGGGCGUCAUUACUGAAACACAGGAUUGUUACUUCAAUAGCCCAGCCAUGGCCAAAAGACAUUAUUUGGAGUGAGCAUCCAGCUUGUAGCUGGCGUUUAUUAGCCUCUCUUCUGG
rnacentral:lncRNA from 1 species